CCUCCUCCCCGCUCCACCAGGCGCACACAGCUGAGAACCGCGCCACGCUAGGGUGGAGCCGCGCCCGGGUCCCUGAGCCUGACCAAGCCCGGCCCCGAAGGAGCCUCCACACAGGCUUCCAGGCCGCGGUGAGGAGCCUUGGCCUCCAGUCAGGGCGCACAAGCUCCUAAAACGGACUUGAGGCCUCUGGCGCGAGAGUGAAGCACCUUCAGGCGCCCAGGCGGAGUAGGCGCCUGUGGAGUGAGAGCCGUUUGUCCCUGAGACAGUGCCCAGGUCUCAGCGAGCCUGUGCAUUUCUAUCUUGGUGACUGCUCCAAGAAGCCAAGGUGCGGUCUUGGGACUAGAGUAUCAUAAAGCCUGCAGGGACCUGGCACCCACCAUGGAGCCUUUACCCUAGUGUCUUCCUUCUGGCACACGAAGGAUUAUAUACUCAGGAGCUGACAUCAUGGCCAGAACCUGACCCCCUGUGGACCGCCUGUCUGUGCCCUGUACCCAAGGCUUCCAGGAACAAAAUUGAAGUGACUGCUCUGUCACCUGAGGGAGACUGCUUAAGAGCAGGGCCACGGGGCACCUCAGUAGAAGGUGCUAACAGACACUCAUAGAACUUGGACAUGAGUUAAGUGAUGUGGGGGCGUCUCAAGGAAGCAGGGGUUUGCUCUGGAUUGGAUGCUGUCAGGAAGCAGGAUCAAUUCUGUGAUCAAGUGUUUCCACUUUUACGUACGUGAGGCGAAGGUAGCAGAGCUAAAGCCGUGGUUGGCAGAGACAGGACACUCGUGUUAACUGGGGCUGAGAUCUGGUUGGGUGCUUCCUAUGGUUGGUGCAGUGGCCUGGUUUUUGUCGGUGCUCACACGAUUACACGAUGGUCUUGUUCUGUCAGACCGCGUCUGUUGUUGGUGAUCUGUGAGACUACCCUGCGCAGCAGGAGAGCAUUGCAGCCUAGCUGUGGGCGCCUGGCAGUCCAGAGCCUGCUACCAGGAACUACUUUCUCUUUCUCACUAUAAAGGCAAAGCUUUGCCCAUUCUGUUUCCCAGUCAUGUAUCUUCAUGGUGGGAUAAAGAUCUUGAGGAAGAGAAGAAAAGGGGAUGGAGAAUAAGAGAAGGAGGGAUUUGCUUGGGGAAGGGGUCCUAGAGUGUCUCAGCAUAAAGGAUGCACGUCUCUGUCACCCGAAUAGGGCCAGGAAGACAGAUCAAAUGGGAUUCCAAAGCUGUGUUGGGCAGGGGGCGGGGGGAGGGGAAGUUAGGAUAACUGGUAUGUGGAUAUCUUCUGAAUUAUUGGAGGACAAUUUGAGUACAGGGGUGGGGAAGCCAAUACAAUGUGGCCCUUUGCAGUACUGACAGUCCUCCCUUCAAAAUGCAGCCCGCUCCUAAGAAACAUGAGUGGGGCAAUUGUGCACCCCAAUUUUCUGGCACCUCCCUGAUGGGAAAGACCUUGGACACAUAGGUUUGCUAUAUAUUGUUUCAUACAAUUAUUUUACUGAAGGGACUAUGUUGCUUUUCUGGUCCAAUGAGAAGCAAACAGCAAAUUGGGAUUAGAAGCAAAAGAGACCUACUGAGUGAACCCCUGUGAAGAAUCAAGGGUUCAAGAAAGUAGGCAUAGGCAGAGAGCCCCCUGGGACACAGCCCGCCCCUCUAUAGAGAGGGAAGGAAGGACUGGGUAGGAAGAACCUCAGACCGCAGCACCGUUCUGAGAAAAUCUUGGCCAAGCCAUUGGGGAGUCCUCAAGCUCAGCUCCUCCAUAAAGGAGCCACCUCUUUGGGCAGGAAUGCCUUGGCCCCUGCUGUGCUCUUGCACAGAGGCAGCCAGGGGAUAGCCGGGCAGCUGAGGCUGUCAGUCAACUCUGCUCCUGGGCAGGUUCUGUUAGAGUGAUCUGAGUCUCAUCCUGCACAGUGGUCAUACGCUGCUUCUGGCGCCAGUGGCAUGUUUUUAGACGCAUUGAGCCAGUUCAAGUCAUCCCUGAAGCAGAGGCCAUGAUGGGAUUAGACAUGCAAGAGAGUUAAGCGAAAUGCCUGUGAAGCAUAAAAGGGGAAAGAGAGCAGGAAAAAGCUCUACACAAAUGUGAUGUAUGCUAUAUACUGCUGGCAAAUAAACUCAUGGGAGAGUUUAAAGAAAAAUGUCUUUAAGUCAUUUGAAAUGUUUGUUUGGGAACUAUGGUUUCUUUGCAUCAAGUGAGACAAUCUGCAACAUCAUGAAGUCUGCCUCGACUGUUAUUUGCACAACUCCUUUCUGCAAGGGGCUCUGCGCUCCACUGUAGCUCCAUUCU